GUCGGCGUACUGUGGGGCUAGAAGCCCAACCGCAGCGCAGGCAGAGACCCGGUUGACUACGCUUGUAUCUGGAACCUGCCAGAGGCGCGGAACGUGGCUGCUCCAAAGGAGCCCCCGCCGUCGGAGGAAGCAGAGGACCCAAAGAAGGUGAGGCCCAGGACCCAGCCACCAGUGGAAGACUGGGCCAGAGACUGAGAGCCCCGGACUCCCUGGAAAACGUCCUGAUCUUGAUCUAAAGAUUAUCAUCACCGAAACAAAACACGGGCUCCAGAAACCUCACGAAAAGUUCAGUACAGGCCCCCCUCCUCACUCUUGCCCUCCACACCACUGUCUUAGGAAACCUUACAGGUGCCUAGGUCCCUUCUUCCCUACACAUGACGUCCGGGGCACUAGCUCAGAGCCGUGACCAGGAGUAGGCACCAGUGCUGGAAGGCGCCAGAAUCUGCAAGACCCUCCCCCUCUCAGGCGGGCUGACCUUCAGAGUAGCAUCCUCAGGGGUGGCUUCUGUGACUGUCUUCUGGGUCUACCAGGAUUCUCGAGGGACCAAGAUCAUCUAUCUUUGUGGUCAGGAAGCUGCUGAGGAGCCAUAUCUGUCCCACUAUGUGUUUCCACCUCCCAGGCUGGGAGGGAGACAUGGAGCCAUCUCAGAAAUAUCAAUAAGAGGGCAUCAGUAGCCUGAGCUAUCCGGAUCACUUAUCGCAGAACAGCUCUGGAAUAUGGCUUUGUGGAUUUAGCCCACCUAGCUGUCCGGGUCACUGCUGCUUCUCAUUUUAAGCCCUCAUCCUGGGUAUAACACACACAUACACGUGCAAAUGUAUUAUCAAAAGCAGAGGGUUGGGUGCUCUUACUUUCCAUCUAAGGCCUAUAAUGUAAGUGAGCCCUAGACUGCUCCAGGUGGGAGGAGCCUCUGCCUAAAACUGCACCUGACAUAGAUAGGCACCCAACCCAUGUUAGUAGGAAUAUAGGAAUGCAAGACAAGAAAGAGACCAAACUUCCUAGCACCCUGACACCUGCAGAGACAACCCCCCACCCCUUCCCCAUCCUUUUGCUUCUAGCUCAAGCCCUUGAGAGCAUUGUCUCUCUUGAAUUCCAUAAGUCCUUUAGAAUUUAGUCUCUCAGUGUAAGGAACUAUUAAUAUGUGAGGGAGCCUCAGGAAUUAUUUUAAUGGCCAUCCAUAAGGUCCUGCAUCACAGCUGACCUCUCACAAGAAGGUUCUAAUGAGGUCACUAGGGAAAAGAAAGGCAAAGGACUGGCCUGUGACUGGAAAGCAGAUGGCCCUGUGGUAGGGAAGGCUGCAGCUCUUUGAUGAGCUCUCUGCUGG
rnacentral:lncRNA from 1 species